AAGAAAUGGGCAAGCAAGCAAACAAGCAAUGAAGCAUAUUCUUUCCGAUCCCCAGAGAAGUUGAAGGAGGCAAGGAGCGAAAGUGCACUUGUUCACGUUGGUCGCCCGGUCGAUAAGUUGCUUGACGAAGGGGGAGUUAAUUGAUGCGUUAUCGAUGAAUUCGUAUGAAGGGAUGCAGAAUUGGUGAAUCUCGUUUGCGGCUGAAUCGCAGCUUUGCGAAUAUAGCAGUGAGAUCGUAUCUGAAUUCUGAACGAUCUAUCUCAUUGAUACAGUUAGCCUAAUUCUUGCUCAGGCCGCCGAAAACCCUACGUGCUUAGGGUUUGUGGUUUUGCAAACCACUCGUUGUAUUUGAUUGACUUCGACCGCUAUAUCCGUGGGGUUUGCUUCAUUGCCUUGCUAUCGAUUCAUGUUUUAUUAAUCUUCUCCAGUCUUUUACGCGCUUGAGCUUGGUGUAGCUUGUUCAGGCGUCGGAUUAAUUUUCUUCUGUUAUCACAAUGGCGGAGUCGGUUCCAAUCUACUACAGUAUCGUCGCCUUCUUUUGCACUGUGGGUGCAAUCGCUUUUGC
rnacentral:lncRNA from 1 species